rnacentral:rRNA from 1 species
AUACCCCAUAGGCCGAGAGGUUAAAGCAGCAAUGCGCUGGAGGAGGUGCUCGUGCCCUAUCAGCUAGUUGGUGAGGUAACGGCUCACCAAGGCGACGACGGGUAGCCGGCCUGAGAGGGUGAACGGCCACACUGGAACUGAGAUACGGUCCAGACUCCUACGGGAGGCAGCAGUGGGGAAUAUUGGGCAAUGGGAGGAAUCCUGACCCAGCGACGCCGCGUGAACGAAGACGGCCUUCGGGUUGUAAAGUUCUUUUAUGUGGGAAGAAUAAAGUGACGGUACCACAUGAAUAAGCCCCGGCUAACUACGUGCCAGCAGCCGCGGUAAUACGUAGGGGGCGAGCGUUGUCCGGAAUUACUGGGCGUAGAGGGCACGCAGGCUGUGCUUCAAGUCAGCUGUAAAAGGAUGCGGCUUAACCGUGUUGUGCAGUUGAGACUGAGGUGCUGGAGUACCGGAGAGGCAAGUGGAAUUCCCAGUGUAGCGGUGAAAUGCGUAGAUAUUGGGAAGAACAUCGGUGGCGAAGGCGACUUGCUGGACGGUAACUGACGCUGAGGUGCGAAAGCCAGGGUAGCGAACGGGAUUAGAUACCCCGGUAGUCCUGGCCGUAAACGAUGAAUGCUAGGUGUGCGAGCAGAGAUGUUGGUGUGC